rnacentral:rRNA from 1 species
UACAGAGGGUGCAAACGUUGUUCGGAAUUACUGGGCGUAAAGCGCGUGUAGGCUGCUUCGAAAGUCGGAUGUGAAAGCCCUGGGCUCAACCUAGGAAGUGCAUUCGAAACUUCGGAGCUGGAGUUCUGGAGAGGAAGGCGGAAUUCUCGGUGUAGAGGUGAAAUUCGUAGAUAUCGAGAGGAACACCGGUGGCGAAGGCGGCCUUCUGGACAGUGACUGACGCUGAGACGCGAAAGCGUGGGGAGCAAACAGG